AAUAUGAUUUUACUAAUGUUGUUUUAAAGACAUGAGAAAUUUUGAGAUGCUUGAGUAAUAAUUUGCAAGCAUAAACAUUGGUUGUAUGUUUUAAAAAUGUUGUUCCAAAUACAAUAAGAAUUCAUUGAGGGACGAUGUGGAUUGUUUGCAGUAUGAUCUCUUUUGUGGAUUAUCAGAAUCAGAUUCAGUUGUUAGUUUCAAAAAACUAUGGAUUAAUUGCAUUAAAUCACAAUUGUGCGAAGUCAUUGUUAUGUACAUGACAUUCAUAAGGCAUUAUUUCUUUUCAAAGAUAUGUGACUGUUUGUGAUGUUUCGGAUGCUUGCAGCAUGACCUUUCAUAGUUAUUAUUUUUCAGGGUCAUAAGUGUUCUUUGAGUGAUGACAUAGAUGGUUGCAACACGAUUUUUAGAAAACACUAUUUUUAGAAGCAUGAGCAUUUACAGUUAUAUUUUAAGUAUUCAGAUAAGAGUUUUGAGCGUGUUGUAUCCAGUUCAUAUGUAAGGGUUUGAGAAAAUUGCAAACAUGUUUAUUUGAAAGUGUUUUUAGUAAGCAUGAAGAAUCAUUGUUUGUAUAAAAGUUUUUCAGAAAAAUGUUUUACCCCAUCCCCCACUUAGUGAGUAUUUCAACUCACCCCUUUUUAGAAUGUUUUUCCCCUACGUUCAUAGGAAGAUUGUGUCAAGGAGUGAUUCCUCUGGACAUUGAGCCCACAUGUCAUCAUUGCAUCAUGUGUGUAAAAUGUCACGUUUGUUCCGCAGCAGAUUAUGUUUUAUUUCACAUGUUUAUCUUGUGUGAUUGAUUGUAAAAGAUAUAGAAAAAUCUAAUACCACUUGUUUUCCCUUAGUUUCUAAGAAAGUUUUAUGUAUGUUCAUGAUGAACAAAUGAGGAAAUGUUUUAUUAUGUUGAUUUAUAAACAGGUUUUACAUGUUUAUAGUUUUUUCACAUGGCAGGUCUCGGUCAUCUGAGUCUCAUGGGUGCACUCAGAGCCUAUAGGAUAGGGAGGGUCAGGAUGGGUCGUGUCAUUUUCUUUUUAUAUCUGUGUAUUUAGUUUCUUUAGGGGAAAGAGACUCACCAAGUGCUACCUUAGGCUAAAUCCGAGUGAACUCCCUCAUUUUGAAUUUAACGGCUUGUUCUGAAUCAAGAAACUUAUUGAAGAAGUCGGAGAACCCAGGAGAUUGACUUAAAAACCUCUCCAGGCAUACAAUAAUUACUACCAAAUCUUCUUCUUCAGUUGAAGAAACGAGCAUGGCUUUCAAUUCUUCCCUGAUUACAUCUUCACAUAGAACCUCAAGUCUCUUACAGAGAUCACUGUGUCCCUAUCAUCCCUGAAACAGAGGCUGCUUUAGAAUACAUCAACUUCCCAUUUACUCAGCAACAUGGUCAUUACACUGGUAAUAGAUUCUUCAAUCAAAACUUAAUUGAAUAUCUCUUGAGGCCUGUUUUUCAGCACUAGACAUUUCUUAAGAACAUCUGAAGGCGUUUUCAAGGUUAAGGGUGUUUUGAAACUCCGCACCUUGAGUUUAUACAAUGCUGUACAGAAUUUUACGUGUGACAGAAUAUACAUGUCAAGGAGGUGUCAUCCCAAUUCACAGAGUUUCCCGAUUUUAGGGAUUUCGGUCUAUAUUUUCUUCAAAGAUUUGCAUGGUAGGAUCAAGUUUUAGUCACUGUAAAGAAGGUAAUUUACCUAAACUAUAUGCUGUAAAAUAUUCAAGUACCAUUACUAGUUUGAUUAGAGGAACUUUGGAGAGCUUGAGUCCGACUAAUGAUUUAAAUUAUUUUGGACCACUUAAUCAUUUUUCCUCUAAUAAAUUACAAGUUUACUAAGCUUAUAGAAGAGUUCGAUGAUGGAUCUUCUGAUGAGAUUAGUAUUCCAAUUAAUGCAUUCCUCAGUUUACAGCUGUGUAAUAGCAUUUGCUCUGUACUUGAAUAUUCAUUCAAAGCAUAAGAAUUGAGAUAUGUCAAUGUCUGCAAUUCUUCAAAGAGUUGUUGUCUAUUUCAUGAGAGCAUUCCAUAUUUGCCCGAGUGAUGUUUUUUAUCAUAAUUUAAUAUUCAGUGGACAGACAAAGCUUGAGAUUUCUGAAAGAAUUUCCUGAUACUAACUAUACCGCCGAUUACUAGCCCUUUGAUCCCAACACAGCAUUUGUUAUCAAAGGGUCAUGGGACGUGAAGACUAAUCAGCUUAUUGCUAUUGCCUGCCUAAUCUUGAGCACAACUAGAUAUGUAGAUAAUUCUUAUGUUGUUCAAAAAGGUUUAGCUUUGAUAGGAUUCGGGCUACUUUGAUAGGAUUGCAUUUCAAAGCACCGAGACUCAGGAUCUGAGAAUUCCAGGUUUGAAGUAUAUGUAUACUGAAAUUGCGAAAGUAUGAAAUUUGUGCCCAAAGAAGCAUCAUCAAGUUAGGAAAAGAAAAGGGCAUUAUCCAAAUGGCUCUCUUAAAGAAAUGUUGUUCCAUGCAUCAGUCAAAAUUUCAUCAGGAAAAAUUGUAGAGUGCUGUUCAAGUCCUCUCUUUCUUAGUGAUCAGAUGAUUUCUCCAUGGUUUCAACCUUCCAUUCCAUCAUCAAGCUCAAAAGCAGAAAAAUCUUUUCUCAAGAAUAUCAGCUACAAAUUGAGCUUCACAUUACAGUCUGCUAUAAAAUUCAAUGGCACGGUGUCACUAUUUAAGUUUUCUUCAGCCUCGCAAAUGAGAGUAGAUAUUGCUGAUGAAGGUGUUUAUGAUACUGAAACAGCUGUAGAGAUAUCCACGCAAGCAAUCAGAUUGUAAGAAAUGAUUAUAUGGACUGUGAGAUCCUUGUGAAUCUUCAAUUUCCUCCACUCGAAGCAAAGAAAAAUGCAGGUUACAUAACUGGACCCAUUCAAGUACACAGGAAAAAUCCGACCCUCUUUACUUUGAAUCCCUGCACUUGUCCUCGGCUGCACUUUGUUCAGGAAGCUCAAUAUGGAAAAUGGAUUUGAACAUCGUCAUGGUCCUGAUCUCCAACACUCUUGCAAGAAGCCCCUUUGCGCAUCCUUUAAUUUCAGUAAUCAUGCUUGGGGCUUAUGGUUCCUCUUGUUCAUGAAAAUUUUCAAUCACCGAAACGUCUUGCUCAAUGAAGGUGGAUGGUUAGAAGUGAAUGAGGUGAUCGCCCUCACCAAAUCCGCCUCAACAAGUUCCAGAACUCAAAAGGAAUACUCAAAAGGAUUAAUCUUUCACAGCCUGUUCCCUCGUGCAUAUGAUCUUUAGAGGGCUAAUAAUUAUCCGAACCACUUUGAUGGAUCAUACAUAUAUGCAAAUUCUGGUGAAGAUUUAAAAAUUGCUCUGGAAUUCCAGUUCCAAAGAGUGGAGAAAAAACAGGACAGCAUGAUCACAUUUAUAGAAGCUAGUCCAGGACUCCAAUAUAUGACCCAAAUAAGUCCAAGAUUCCACUUAAGACCCAAAGUAUUAAGUAUCUAUUU